rnacentral:rRNA from 1 species
UACGUAGGGGGCAAGCGUUGUCCGGAAUUAUUGGGCGUAAAGAGCGUGUAGGCGGUCCGGUAAGUCAGCUGUGAAAGUCAAGGGCUCAACCCUUGAAUGCCGGUUGAUACUGUCGGGCUAGAGUCCGGAAGAGGCGAGUGGAAUUCCUGGUGUAGCGGUGGAAUGCGCAGAUAUCAGGAGGAACACCGGUGGCGAAGGCGGGUCUCUGGGCAGUAACUGACGCUGAGGAGCGAAAGCGUGGGGAGCGAACAGG